rnacentral:rRNA from 1 species
GACGAACCGUGCGAACGUUGUUCGGAAUCACUGGGCUUAAAGGGCGCGUAGGCGGGCCUUCAGGUCGGGGGUGAAAUACCACAGCUCAACUGUGGAAGUGCCCCCGAUACCGGAGGUCUCGAGGGGGAUAGGGGCGUGUGGAACUUCCGGUGGAGCGGUGAAAUGCGUAGAUAUCGGAAGGAACGCCGGUGGCGAAAGCGACACGCUGGAUCCCUACUGACGCUGAGGCGCGAAAGCCAGGGGAGCAAACGGG